GGGGUGUAGCUCAGUUGGGAGAGCGCUAGAUUCGCAUUUUAGAGGUCGCGGGUUCGAAUCCCGUCAUCUCC
rnacentral:tRNA from 1 species